GCCAAUAUAGCUCAGUUGGAAGAGCGCCUGCACAGCGUGCAGGAGGGCAUGAGUUCGAGUCUCAUUAUUGGCUCCA
rnacentral:tRNA from 1 species